AACGCAUAUUGCGCUCGAGACUUCGGUCGAGAGCAUGCCUGUCUCAGCGUCGGCUCACCCCUCGCCCACCCUCCUUCUCUUUCUCAGAAAGCCAGGGAGGUGCCUGGACGGACGUGGCCGUCUCGAUCGGUUUCAUCAAAAAUCGAUCGGGUCGGCUGAAGUGCAGGGCCCGCGGCGCGACCCGGACAAGAGGGCGCCAGCAUGGUAGGUGGCUGUCAAUGCUGCAUGCCGCUGUCGCCUCCCCUUGGCCAGACCAGUGUCGCAUCCAAUCGUCCGCUCGGCCACCAAGCAGGAAAACGCGCGUCGAGCCGCCGGUCGUAAAAUUAUCGGCGGCGCCGACGCGCUUCUCAAACCUUCGACCUGAGAUCAGACAAGACCACCCGCUGAACUUAA
rnacentral:misc_RNA from 1 species